UACGUAGGAGGCGAGCGUUGUCCGGAGUUACUGGGCGUAAAGGGUGCGCAGGCGGCGGUUCGCGUGGCGAGAUGAAAUCUCCUGGCUUACCUGGGAGGAUGGUCGCCAGACGGGAUCGCUUGAGGGUCGGAGAGGGGCGUGGAAUUCCGGGUGGAGCGGUGAAAUGCGUAGAGAUCCGGAGGAACACCGACGGCGUAGGCAGCGCCCUGGACGA
rnacentral:rRNA from 1 species